rnacentral:lncRNA from 1 species
CCCACUUAUACAAAUAGAUAAAAUAAUAAUAUUUUGACUAAAUUAUAUUUUUGGCCGUCACACUAUGAGAGAAGAUCGAUACUUUAGUCUUCAAAUUUUAAUAUUUUUUACUUAAAUUUUUAGACAAUUAAAAUUAAGUCGUACAAUCCAAUUUAGUUAACUAAACACAGAUGUGACAAUAAUGUAGUAAUAUUAUGAUUAGCAGUGCAACAAUAAUUAAGAUAUUAUCUUACUAUCAGCCUAUCAGGAACAUAUCCUCACUUAUUCAAAUCCAUAUAGUAGUAAUAUUUUGGCUAAAUUAUAUUUUUGAUCAUUAGACUCUCGAAGGGGUGAUAAUUCAGUCUUCAAACUUUAAUUUAUUAUUAUUUUGACUCAAACAUUUUAAUUUAGUACAAUUUAUGUCUCACAAUCUAAUUUAGUUAACUAAAUACAGAUACGACGGUAAUGCAGCAAUCUUAUAAUUGAUAGUAUGACAAUAAUUAAGAUACCAUAUUACUAUUAUAUUAACAAUAUAUCCUGAUUUAAUCAACUAAAAUUAGAUUGUGAAAUUUAAUUAUAAAAAUAAUAAUUUUAUUUUUAA